rnacentral:tRNA from 1 species
GGGGCUGUAGCUCAGAUGGUAGAGCGCCAGCUUUGCAAGCUGGAUGUCGCCGGUUCGAUUCCGACCAGCUCCACCA